AGUGAACGUUGGCGGCGUGGAUUAGGCAUGCAAGUCGAGCGAUCGUAGCAAUACGGGAGCGGCAAACGGGGUAGGAAUACAUCGGAACGUACCCUCUGGUCGAGGAUAGCGUCGGGAAACUGACGGUAAUACUCGAUAAAGUCGAGAGACCAAAGGUUUACUGCCGGAGGAGCGGCCGAUGUGAUAUUAGGUAGUUGGUGGGGUAACGGCCUACCAAGCCUGAGAUGUCUAGGGGGUGUGAGAGCAUGGCCCCCACCACUGGGACUGAGAAACUGCCCAGACACCUACGGGUGGCUGCAGUCGAGGAUCUUCGUCAAUGGGCGAAAGCCUGAACGAGCGACGCCGCGUGCGGGAUGAAGGCCCUUGGGUUGUAAACCGCUGUCAGGGGGGAGUGAAACCGCAAGGUUGACAGAGCCCCAGAGGAAGCACGGGCUAAGUCGUGCCAGCAGCCGCGGUAAAGU
rnacentral:rRNA from 1 species